rnacentral:sRNA from 1 species
GGCCUCAUCAAACCCUUGGGCUCCAUGAUACCUACAGGAGAAACACAAGCUCGGUGGGCUGUUCGAGUCCUGAAAGGUUUGGCUUGUGCUACUGCAAGGCUUUGCAAUCAGAUUAUAUCACAUACAUAGAUGAACUCCUGACCUAUAUCAAUGCAAAACCCAACCUGUUCUCUAUGCUCCUAAUGGAUCCACAUCUGGCUCUGACCAUCUUCUUUGGCCCAUGCUCACCAUACCAGUUCCGCUUGACUGGCCCAGGAAAAUGGGAAGGAGCCAGAAAUGCCAUCAUGACCCAGUGGGACCGAACAUUCAAGGUCAUCAAAGCUCGAGUUUUACAAGAGUCUCCAUCUCCCUUUGAAAGUUUUCUUAAACUCUUUAGCUUUCUGGCUUUGCUUGUGG